rnacentral:piRNA from 1 species
UUAGGAAUACAGCAAGCAGUGCUC